rnacentral:rRNA from 1 species
AGACCCGAAACCCGGUGAUCUAGCCAUGGGCAGGUUGAAGGUUGGGUAACACUAACUGGAGGACCGAACCGACUAAUGUUGAAAAAUUAGCGGAUGACCUGUGGCUGGGGGUGAAAGGCCAAUCAAACCGGGAGAUAGCUGGUUCUCCCCGAAAGCUAUUUAGGUAGCGCCUCGUGAAUUCAUCUCCGGGGGUAGAGCACUGUUUCGGCUAGGGGGCCAUCCCGGCUUACCAACCCGAUGCAAACUGCGAAUACCGGAGAAUGUUAUCACGGGAGACACACGGCGGGUGCUAACGUCCGUCGUGAAGAGGGAAACAACCCAGACCGCCAGCUAAGGUCCCAAAGUCAUGGUUAAGUGGGAAACGAUGUGGGAAGGCCCAGACAGCCAGGAUGUUGGCUUAGAAGCAGCCAUCAUUUAAAGAAAGCGUAAUAGCUCACUGGUCGAGUCGGCCUGCGCGGAAGAUGUAACGGGGCUAAACCAUGCACCGAAGCUGCGGCAGCGAACGUAUCACUUAAAGCGAUUCAGCGGGUUACGAUUGACGGAGCGAAGCGACGUCAAAGCGUAUACAAAGUCGAGUCGGUUUAAGGAUACGUUCGUUGGGUAGGGGAGCGUUCUGUAAGCCCGUGAAGGUGGCCUGUGAGGGUUGCUGGAGGUAUCAGAAGUGCGAAUGCUGACAUAAGU